CACGUAGGGGGCGAGCGUUGUCCGGAUUUAUUGGGCGUAAAGAGCUCGUAGGCGGUUUCGUAAGUCGGAUGUGAAAACUCCAGGCUCAACUUGGAGACGCCAUUCGAUACUGCGAUGACUUGAGUCCGGUAGGGGAGUGUGGAAUUCCUGGUGUAGCGGUGAAAUGCGUAGAUAUCUGGAGGAACACCGGUGGCGAAGGCGGCAUCCUGGACCGGUAUUGACGCUGAGGCGCGAAAGCCAGGGGAGCAAACGGG
rnacentral:rRNA from 1 species